rnacentral:rRNA from 1 species
GGGUGCGAUCAUACCAGCACUAAUUCACUGGAUCCCAUCAGAACUCCGCAGUUAAGCGUGCUUGGGCGAG